GAUGAACGCUGGCGGCGUGCCUAAUACAUGCAAGUCGAGCGAACAGACGAGGAGCUUGCUCCUUUGACGUUAGCGGCGGACGGGUGAGUAACACGUGGGUAACCUACCUAUAAGACUGGGAUAACUUCGGGAAACCGGAGCUAAUACCGGAUAAUAUUUCGAACCGCAUGGUUCGAUAGUGAAAGAUGGCUUUGCUAUCACUUAUAGAUGGACCUGCGCCGUAUUAGCUAGUUGGUAAGGUAACGGCUUACCAAGGCAACGAUACGUAGCCGACCUGAGAGGGUGAUCGGCCACACUGGAGCUGAGACACGGUCCAGACUCCUACGGGAGGCAGCAGUAGGGAAUCUUCCGCAAAGGGCGAAAGCCUGACGGAGCAACGCCGCGUGAGUGAUGAAGGGCUGCGGAUCGUAAAACGCUGUUAUUGGGGAAGAACAAACGUGUAAGUAACUGUGCACUUCUUGACGGUACCUAAUCAGAAAGCCACGGCUAACUACGUG
rnacentral:rRNA from 1 species